GUGCCAGCCGCCGCGGUAAAACGUAGGAGGCGAGCGUUAUCCGGAUUUACUGGGUGUAAAGCGCGUGCAGGCGGUUGGCUAAGUUGGAUGUGAAAGCUCCUGGCUUAACUGGGAGAGGUCGUUCAAUACUGGUCGACUUGAGAGCAGUAGGGGAAGGUGGAAUUCCGGGAGUAGUGGUGAAAUGCGUAGAUAUCCGGAGGAACACCAGUGGCGAAAGCGGCCUUCUGGACUGCAUCUGACGCUCAGACGCGAAAGCUAGGGUAGCAAACGGGAUUAGAAACCCUUGUAGUCC
rnacentral:rRNA from 1 species